rnacentral:rRNA from 1 species
GACGAACGCUGGCGGCGUGCUUAACACAUGCAAGUCGAACGGAAAGGCCCUGCUUUUGUGGGGUGCUCGAGUGGCGAACGGGUGGGUAACACGUGAGUAACCUGCCCUUGACUUUGGGAUAACUUCAGGAAACUGGGGCUAAUACCGGAUAGGAGCUCCUGCUGCAUGGUGGGGGUUGGAAAGUUUCGGCGGUUGGGGAUGGACUCGCGGCUUAUCAGCUUGUUGGUGGGGUAAUGGCUUACCAAGGCUUUGACGGGUAGCCGGCCUGAGAGGGUGACCGGCCACAUUGGGACUGAGAUACGGCCCAGACUCCUACGGGAGGCAGCAGUGGGGAAUAUUGCACAAUGGGCGGAAGCCUGAUGCAGCAACGCCGCGUGCGGGAUGACGGCCUUCGGGUUGUAAACCGCUUUCGCCUGUGACGAAGCGUGAGUGACGGUAAUGGGUAAAGAAGCACCGGCUAACUACGUG